GUUAGAUAGAUAAAAAGAACAUCAGCCAAAAGCAGAAUCAGAGGAUGGAGAUGGGUGCAGGGGAUGGGUGGUUGUUGAUGAGAAGGUUGUUACCCUUGGAGAGCUGGUCCAUGAGGGUAAGUAUGUGGGAGUUGUAAGCACGGGCCUGAUUGACGGACUCUGCUUCCAGCUCGCCCAGCUGAGAACAGAGCCUUUCCUCCGCCUCUUCCGCCACCCUCAGCCUUUCCCACAUCUUUCGUAAUUCCUUUCUCAUCUGCUCCUCUCUUUCCCUACUCUCCUUCAAUUCCUUCUCUAACUCCUGGUUCCUCUUCCUCAACUCUUCUUCUGGUGCCGCCAUUGUUGGAGCCAUGUGAUAGCUUGCUGUUUUUUGUUUUUUCUUCUAGUGGAGUUGUGAAUCAACCAAUGUGGAGGAAUCGAUUCUCUUAAAGGCCUAGGGCCCUCCGACGCAAAGUGUCCAGGUUCAAUGUAUCUAGCUUGGUUUGCUUUCUAUUAUUAUACCUGCUUACGUAAUUGCUCUGCUAAUUCAACUUUUUUCAUCCUUCAAUUUUCAACUCUUUGAAGUAUUGUGGCAACACAAGAAAAGUAAUAUGUUGAAGGAUAAAAGAUUGAGCAUUUUCUUCUUCCUAUUUUAGUUUUUUAUUUUUAUUUUCAAUUGCUCUCUUAUCAUCACUUAUCUUUAAAUAUAACCAUUUUGAACAUGAAUAAAAAUAAUUAAAAGAUAUUAUAUUAAAUAAAUAAUUAGUAUAAACAUAAUAAUAGAAAUAUAGAAAAUUAUUAAAUUAACUUAGAAAACAAAAUUAUCAAAUUAAGAAAUAUAAAUUGUUAAUAUUAUAUUCUGGAUAAAAUAUUAUAAUAUGUAAAAUUAAAAACAGACAUAAAAUGUCGAAUUUAUUUGUCCAUACGUACAUUAUAGUAAAAAAAAAAGUUGUUAAAAGAUUUCUUACGUGAUGAGUAAUUUUCGUAAAGGACAUAAUAAGAGAGAUUUUGGGGGCAAUUUACCUAAAAAAAGUCGUUUUUUUCAAAAUUUAUCGAAAUUGGCCGAUUUUUUUAUUAUUUACCGGAAUGGUCUAUUUUCCGGGAAAUCGCGUCCACGUCAGCGCGAUGUCAGGGUACGUGUCAGGACAUCGCGUCCAGUCGCACUGACGUGGACGCGAUGUCCACCGCGCGUGAACAGUACCCCAAUGGUCAAAUUUUUGACCGUUGCCCCCCCAACGGUAAAAAAAAAAACUAUAAAACCCCCCACCUUUUUUUUCACAAACAAAUCCUAUCUCAAUUUCCUUCCAAAAUCCUAUCUCAAUUUCCUUCCAAAAUCCUCUUAAACUCUCAAUUUCCUUCCAAAAUCCUCUCAAUUUCAUUCCAAAAAUCUCUCAAAUCCAUAUUAAAUUUCAAUUUCCGCUCAAGUUCAUUUUUUUUAAAUAAUUUCAAAUUUUUUUAUAUUUUUUUAAAAUAAUUUUAAUUUUUUUUAUAUUUUCAUCAAUGGCCGGAUCAUUGAUUCGUCUUGAUAGGAAUCACAUAUCGGUGGAGCAAAUGAAAAUGGUAAGUAUUAAAUUUAAAUUUUAAAUAUUAUUUAAGAUAUUUUUAUUUAUGUAUUUUUAGAAAAUUAUUAAUUUAUUAUUUGUUAUAAAAGUUUGAAGAUCGGGUAUUGUAAUACACUAUCCGAAAUAUGCAUGGUCCUCCAUCACCAUUAGUAGAUAACUACCUGCGGGAAGCGGGUUUUUGGCACGUGGCGACGGUAGGCCGGGAUGCAAGUUGGAGCCGAAACUGAUCAGUGCGUUGAUCGAGAGGUGGAGACCCGAGACGCACACAUUUCAUCUUCCAUGUGGUGAGUGCACUAUCACUCUAGAAGAUGUCCAUCUGCAAUUGGGAUUGCCGGUGGACGGACACCCAGUCACCGGGUCUGCCCAAUCUAGCAAUUGGGAGGCGGUGUGCUACGAGCUUUUGGGCGCUGUUCCGGAUAAAAUGGAUGGAGGUAAGGUGGAGAUGGGGUGGUUACGUGCCACCUUCCCCAAUCCGAAUGCAAAUUCAACCGAAAUUGAAAGAAUCCGAUAUGCUCGAUCAUACAUUCUUCAAAUAAUUAGAGGUUAUCUGAUGCCCGACACGUCACGGAGCCGUGUACAUCUAAGGUGGCUGCUAAAACUCGUUGAUUUUAGAGGAGCCGGUGAAUUUAGUUGGGGGUCUGCCGUCUUGGCAACAUUAUAUCGGGAGAUGUGCGGGGCGACGCGAUCGAGGAGAGCAAACAUUGGAGGUUGCCUGUCACUACUGCAAUCAUGGGCACGGUUUCACUUUCCAUUUCUAUGUCCUCGAGUGAACCGCCCACAUACAUUCCCACUCGUAACGAGUAAAUUUUAUAUUAUAUUUUGGAAUUGUUAUGUAGAUUUUGUAAGAAUAAAAGUAUGCUAAAAAUUGAUUUAAUUAGGUGGAACCAUCUGACAAGUUAUCGCGAAUUACCGUCUGAACUUAAAGAUAUAUGGCUUCUAUUGGAGCAACGGUCGGAAGCAGAAGUAAGUAUUAUUGCAAAUAGAUAUUUCCAUACAUUCGCUAGUGAGACCGGUAUAUAGUAUUUAAUAUUUAGUAUUAUGUAUAUAACUGAUAUUUCUAUCAUGUUCAUGUAGUUUCAAUGGACACCAUACGAGGAUCCGGCAAUCUGGGCAGUAAUCCCGGAAGAGUUUUUACAAAAUCCAAACGCUUGGCACGCGAAAGUGGUGUUAAUCAACUAUGCAACCGUGGAGCCCCACCAGACAGACAGAGUCCUACGAUAGUUUGGAUGUAAACAACCGAUUCCUGCGAACCCUGAGGUGUUUGACGAUCACCACAAAAUCGACCUUCGGCUAUUAGGUACGGAUUGGCCUAGAUACUGGUCAAAGUACACGGAAAUAUGGGAAAAUCGGCAUGAAUAUCUACCUACUCGGGAAGAAAUCAUCGUUUUGGAGUUAGCGUGCAUUCCAGAAUACAUGCCAUGGUUUAGGAUCUAUGGGAAGCCGUAUUUACUUACGCCAGAGGAGAUGCAACGACAAUUACGUCUCGGAAGGGGAAGGCGCGGGCCUCUAAAUCUAAGACGAGAAGACUUCAAAGAUAGCCCAUCAACGAGGCCCAGACAGUCACCCGACGCAUCAUCAGCGGGCAUGCAAUCACCGGCCUCGUCGAGAGCACCGACGCAGUCACCUGACGCAGCAAUUCAACAAAUGAUACCGAUGCAAUCGCCUUUCCCGUACAUGUAUCCUUUUCUGAAUCCUAUGUCAGGUUGGAGCCAAAUGCCCGAAUCAGCUCCAUUUCUUAUUAUGCCGAGCGGACCACCGAUAACUAAGGCAGCGGCGCAGGAGGGGUCUCAAGGGGGGCCGUCCAAGAGCUCUCCUUUUUACCAAUCGCCAGCAACGCAUGGCUUUCAAACACCGUCACCGUUCAUGAUGCAAACACCUCCACAUACACUAUUCUUUGAAGGUGGAUCAUCGUCCCAAGUCCGACAACCAGACGCCGAACCGGAAGAACAACAAUCACCACCGGUUUAGAAAAUAAUCCCACCUCUGCACCAUCUGGCCCGGGCUCUCGAGGUGGAUCCACAUCGGAGUCAUAUUCUAACCCACAAUCAUCUGCAGCGUACGACGUCCCCUCACCGGUUGAUGUCGUAGGUAGUACGUCAUCCCUUCUUCUUGGCAUUUGAUAACGUCCCCAAUUGGAUGUAGAUUGUCAUCCACUAGAACUUGAUGCAGUUCCCCAGUACGUAUUUCCAGCGUCAAACGUCGAGCCACCGAUGUAUAUGUCCCAUCCACCGAUAGAGUACCUUACGGGGGAUGUGCAUUCGACACCGCUAUCGAACAUGGGCUGUUCCGUAUUUUGUAAAUCGCUAACCGACUGUCGGCCAGAGGUCGUGUAUACAUCUCGAACACCAGACGGAAGUACAUCAGUUGGCGACAUAAAUUGUACAUAUAACUCAAUAUAAGUUGCUCCGCUAGCAAGAUGAGUCUGCACCAUUGCCUCCAAGCUACGAGCACCUUUUAUGUCGAACGAGUCAUAUGUCACCGGAUGAAUACAAGAACAAAAUCGAUACGUGAUUGACAGAACUUUCAUUGGCGUCGUUUCGAAGAUUUUACGCCUAAUUCUUUUACGAAGUUCUGUCAAAUCUAUGUUCUGGUUAAAUGACAGUCGCACCGUAUUCUCCGACAAAAAAAUAACACCAUUCUCGGUGUGGCAAACCUCAACAUCAUAGUAAAUAACAGCACUAAUACGUUCACUCAUUUUGAAACUCUUACUUUCUUAGCUUCUCUAAAAUGUUUCUGCUAUGACUUAUGCAUUCUAAUAACAUUUUUUGCCUAAUUUAUAGCCUCAGCCCAAACUUGCUACUGCAGCAAAAUUGCAUCCACGAGGGCGCGAUUUUAUACUAUUUGCUCAGAAACGUCAAAAAAAAUUAUUUCUUACAUGACCAACUGUAGCGAAAUCGCGUCCACGAGGGCACAAUUUCACAAUUUCUUCUCAAUUAGCAUCCACGAGGGCGUGAUUUUAUACUAUUUGCUCAGAAACGUCAAAAAAAAUAUUUCUUACAUGACCAACUGUAGCGAAAUCGCGUCCACGAGGGCACGAUUUCACAAUUUCUUCUCAAUUAGCAUUCUCGAGGGCGCGAUUUUAAACUAUUUGACCAGAAGCGUCAACUCGAAAUAAUUUAUUCUGGGACCCCUAAACCCUAAAAAGCCUGCACCCUAAACCCUAAAAGCAAGAAAAACCAAAUGUGAAAUCAACGUCAAAAUCGCGUCCCCGAGAACGCGCUACGUGGCAAGACAUCGCGUCCACGUCAGCGCGACCUGCUGACGUGGACACGAUGUCCUGACACGUACCCUGACAUCGCGCUGACGUGGACGCGAUUUCCUGAAAAAUGGACCAUUCCGGUAAAUAAUCAAAAAAUCGACCCAUUUCGGUAAAUUUUGAAAAAAAACGGCUUUUUUAGGUAAAUUGCCCAGAUUUUGGUCAUGAUAUUUUAUUGAAAUGAUUUUAUGGUUAAAUAAUAUUAUAUUUAUAAAUUAUUUAAGAUAUGUCUAAUUGGUCCAUCUGCUAACUCGAAAUAACUAGAAAUAAAUUGCAUAUUGAACCAAGGAUAUGGAAUGAAAAAAAAUGACAAAAUAAGAUAAAUAUAUCACAUGUAUCACUGUUCACAAACCCUAGUAUUUACUACGGCAUGCUGUUGCCCCCUAUACUCCUAAUUGGAGUAGAACUUGUAUUUUCUACUAAAUAUUAUUAUUUAAUCAGGUCUUUUUCCAACAUAACUCUUGUACCAAUUCUCUAUAUAUAGAAACUAUGUGUUGAGCUUUUUACAACACUUAUAGACGUCAUUAUUCUGCCAAAAAGUAGGCAAAAUUUAUUUCAUAGAAUAAAAUUCUAUUUUCUGGGAAAAACGCAUAGUUAUUGGUUACAAAGACAAAUCAACUUUCCUAUUGAAAGUUAACUAACAGUUUUCAUCUUGUGAUUUGGUUUGUCUUGUUCGAGUCCACGCUCGAGGUAAUACUUGGUUUGAGGAUAACAGAUCAGAAUGUCAUUCGAUUGAAAGUCGGGAUCAACUUAACCGCCUCGUACAAAACACGUGUACUAUUUUGAUUAAUUGAUUUAUUGAUACAAAUAACACAACGACUCAAAUUUUUUUAAAAAAAUUAAACUUCCUUUGUAUCUAAAAUAACCAUUUUCUAAACCGAUUUUUCCAAGAAAAACUUAAAGUUCCAUUCGUUAGACGCUAUUAAAUAGAAACCUCAUUAUGCUAAAUUUAUUAAGGAAUUGUACACCAACAAGAGAAAGCUAAAAGGUAAUGUGAAAAUAAGUAUGGGGAGAAAGUCUCCGCUAUGAUACAAAAGUAGGUACCUCCUAAAUGCAAGGACCCAAGUAUGUUCUCUAUCCCAUGAAAGAUAGGCAAUGUUAAAAUUGAGAAAGCCAUGUAUGAUUUAGGAGCGUCAAUCAAUUUUAUGCCAAUGUCUAUUUACUCAUCUUUAAAAGUAGGUCCUUUGCAUGAAAAUGGUGAAUCAUUCAAUUUGCUGAUAGGUCUAUGGUAUAUCCAGAAGGAGUUUUAGAGGAUGUUCUUGUUCAAGUUGAUGGAUUAAUUUUUCUUGUUAAUUUUUAUAUGUUGGUAUGCAGGAUGGCAAUUCACCUAACUCAACACAUGUAACACCCCAUACCCGGUCGAGACGAUUCAACCCGAAUCCGGGAUGUCACAUUAGCCACCAGAAUGACUCUCCGUUUCAUCUCCAACCGAACUUCCAGUGCACAAUGAUACCAUGUGAAUAAGAAAAGGAACAUGUGAACUCUAAUAUUUGACUCACAACACUUAACUUAGUAGACAAAGGGGUUCGCGGCUAGUAGUUCGCCAAACAUGAGGGUUUGCACCUUGCACAGUUCGACAACUUUGUAACUUCGCAACAAUUUUGGCGAACUCUAUAUAAAUUAGUCAGUUUUGAUCAUUUCAUGCUCUAACUUAUGGCGAACACUCUGUUUAGAGAUUAAAUACUUAAACAUGAACUCGUAAUUUUAAGAAAACAUCAAACAUGGCUUCGAGUGAUAUUCAUACUGAUGAAGAAUUAACAUACUUAACAUUCAAGUAUAUAUAUAAUGAUUUAUCAGUUCACAAGCUUUGGAAUAGAUAUAAUGUAAAUAUCUAAGUCUUUAGAGCAAUCAACGAGGUUAAUCAGAUAGGAAGAUAUCUUUAAGCCCAAGCAGACUCUAACAUUUCCCAUAAGUCUAGAGUUCAUUUCUAACACCUACUUAGUAUUUAUGCCUCGUCUAGAUCACUCGCCUCGUCAUGCGAUCUAUCUAUCUGCAAUGUUUAGUAAAGAGUGUGUAAGCUCUUGCGAGCUUAGUGCUUGUCCCGAAGAACCACAUAGCAUAUACAAAACAUAUGUCACAUAAUGAGUUCACUAGUACUACCAGUUCUUAUAGCUUACUAUCAGUUAUUAACUUUUAAUCUCUUCAGAACAAGUUGGAAAAUUCUUUAAAAUAAUAGAUUAAUUUAAGAAUCCAGAUUCCACCAUUAACAACAUCAAUUUUAGCUAAAAUUAGUCGACCUUUAAAAUUUUAAAUUUCUCAAAACAACUCAAACCUAAUUAUUUUCAAUAAGCAAAUAAUUUCGAGCGUCGUUAAUGUAACUUCUGAGAUUCAAUCAUAACGUCUAGGUCGGGUUUGGGGUGUUACACAUUAAUUGAGUUUGUUGGGAUUUAUAUCUUAAAGGGUUCAAUUGGACACUUAUCAAAAUAUUCAUCACAUCUAUCGAUUUAUUCGAUCCAUCAUCCACACUUUUUUUAAAAAAAUUUCUAUUUCUUAUUUAUUUAUGAUUUUUAUUUGUUAUUUAUUCUCAAAUUUCUUCUUUUACUAUUUUCGAUUUCUUUAAUUUCUAAUUUUUUUUAUUUCUUCUUUCAGGUCAAAUCAAAAUCUUUCUUUUUUGAGUCAAACAACUUGAAUUAGAUCCUUCUUUUGCUUCCUUCGCUUCAAUUCCUUAUCAUUAGUUAAUAAAAUUAUUCAUCAAUUACAUUAAUACUUUGUAUAUUAUUCUCACACGGUUUUUACACACAAAGCAAAAUGGAAGCAAAUGUUGCUCAUUGGUUGUCUAAUGUGUAACUAAUAUUAAGAGGUAUUAUGUGGUCGGAUCGUAGUACAGAAAGAUAACUUGUAUUAGUAAACGAACUUAAACAUGUCCUUAGUCUAAUUGGAAAUGAGCAAACUGAUUGAAAGUCUAAUAUGUUGUCUAUCAAGUCAAAUUGGGGAGAUGUCUAAUCUUAGGCAUUGGAGCAGAUGACUCCUAGAAGAUAGAGAUAUAGAUGUAUUUGACUGGACUGACAGUACAUCAGAUAAGACCCAAGUAGAAUAGAUUUUGAAGUCAUUUGUGGAUCUAUUCACUUGUGACGUUCAUAGUGUAGCAUACCUAAAUCCUGAGUGGAUGGCAAACUAUGUAUGUAUGACUCGUACACUUUGAUAUAAGAAAAAUUCUGAGUUCAAAUAGAUAAGGAAUCGAAAGCUGGUGCGCUGGGUGUACGAUUUCUGUAGUAUGUAGCGUCAUUCACAAAAAUGAAAUUCAUAGCUCAAAGCAUGAGUAAAUGAUAUCCCCUUAUUGGAAUUACAUGGUUGAUAAAAGUAAAUGUGACUAUGGGUCAUCUGUCUUUAUGAUGAAUGACUUUUCAUGAAAAUAAACAUUACAUUUUCUCACUUUUAAAUGAAAUAAUAGUCAAUAUGCUGCAAUAAAAUGCUUACCCAUGUAAAAUAAUAAUGCAAGUCAACUCAGGAUAAUAAUUCACUUACCUUGAAACUUACCUCACAUUGAUUAGGCUUACUAAAGUUUCCAUUACCAUGGCUAGAUAUCAUAAGCAAAGUCAAUAACAAGAUCGCUAAAGUCAUAAUACUUAACUUACCGGUGCUAAUUAAAUACACACUCAUAAACAUUUAGUACAAGCAAAGAUUCAUGGAACACACCUUAGCUUAACGUCCAAAUAGUAAAUGUUCACUCCAAGGUACCCACCAACUUAGCUUUUCACUAAUUCAAUCCUUCCUCUUUAUUAAUGUUACCAUGUACCUAUUCAAUAUUACCAUUAAUUUCAGCACAUGAAAUAUUUAAAUUUAUCACUUAACAACCAUUAAUACAAAUUUAAAUUAAGGACCCUUGCCUUAAUUCCUCUAUUCUGAAUACACCAAAAAAGGUGCAAAAAUAUCCUUUUUUAUUGAUUCACUUCUUCUCUCUCUCGACCUUUUGCUUCAAAAAUCAUAUAACCACCAUCUGAAAACCAAAUUGAUAUAAUUUACAACGCAACUAUUUUCACAUAUAUAGGUUAAUUUGAAAAUAUUAUAAAAGGUGGAGUCAUUUCUCAUCUCUCUACUCAUUCAAAAGGCUCUUCAAGCCUUCACCUCAUCUUCAUCUAUCUUUACAAUUAGAGUCUUUAUAACAUGGGCAUACAGGAUAAUUCACAGUCAAUUCUUAAACAAACUAUUAAAUUAAUCUAAUCUAAAGGGGAGAGACUCACGGUUUUGAGGGUUUAUCAAGCUUCUCAUUUGCUCCCUUUCGAAUGAAAGAGAUAAUGAGCCUCCUCUCUCACUUCACAUUACUUAAUUUCUUCCUUAGUGAUUUCUUAAAUAACUCCACUUAAAUUGAACUUAUGGUAAUGAUCUUAAUUAUCCAAAUGGUGGCUCAUCCAAGGAAUCUCCUCUUUUUUUUUAAGUUUUUUAUCUCUAACGAACAUAAUUAAGACUUAACUAAAUUAUGCUUUAUGAUCAUGACCCAACGGUGAGGAUUUUAAUUUCUUCACUUUAGUGCCAACUAAUAUGGUGGAGAUAAUUCUCAUUCACUAACACCAUAAAAUUUAUGGCAAUGAUUCCCUUAGUCUCUAUAAUAUCUCUAUUUCAAUCCCUUUUAUAUCUCUUAUAAUUAUUUCUUUUAUCUCCCAUCAAUUAUUUCUAUUUUGCAAUCCUCUUAAUUUACUCAAUAACUCAAUUUAACAAGUCAUAUCUCAAUUUAGUUUUGAUGUUUUCUAAUGCCAUAUAUUAAUUAAUUAAAAUAAAUACGAUUGAUACGGUCUGAUUCUCGAGAGCUUAAUUAGUUUUAUCCCCAACACAACAUGAAUUACGAUAAAAAAUUUUAGGAUGUUAAUUAACCGGACUAUAUCACACGAAUCUAUGUUUUCUUUCUGAAACUCAAGUAUGGAAAAAUGUAAAAAUGUAACUAAUAAGUUGAGGUUUGAAUUUUGUGACGAGGGUAUCAUGCUAAGGUAAAGGUGGGGGAAAAUUCCUAGUUAUGUGUAAAGAUCUUGUAUUAAAAAAUAUCAUCAUAAAGGAAAAGUAUAUGAUCUUUGCAUAUAUGGAUGGUUCUAAGCAUAGGUUUUGAUUAUAUUGUAUAUACAACCACCCUUCCAUGCAUAAACAAAUUAUGGUGGGGAUCGAAUUUUAUACACAUUUACAUUAAUUUUAGAUACAGAUUCUUGAAUUUUUCUUCGAGAUUUCAAUUAGGUAUUCUCUAUGAAUGAUAAAUUAUCUUCUUGUAAAUUUUAUAUGGCCUAAUUGAACUGCACAAUAAAAAAACAAUAUUAUAUGUGAACGAAUAACAAAUUAGGGGAGGACACAAUUUGGGAGAGGCUAGAUCGUGGCUUUAUUAAUAGUCUUAGAAUGUAGUUGCUUGCUAAUGUUGUCGUAUUUAAUUUACCUGUUACAAUUUCAAGUAAUGGGCCUAUGAUAUUGUUCUCAGAUUACCAUAUUUUGUUUUUCUAAAAUAUCAUAUUGAUUUGAGAUUAAGUAGGAUACAAAUUUGAGUGCCAAACUAUGAUUAAAGAGGGAUGGGACGUAGUGGUUUCUAGAUCACCACCAUCUGUUUUGAUGAGAAAUUUAAAAAUAAUACAAGCACAAUUGAAACUAUGAAAUAAGUUGGUGUUCGAGAAUUAAAAAAAAAUGACGAAAAAUAUUAGAAAAGGAAUUAUGUGAGAUGCAAUCUAAACAAAAUACCAUCAACUAGUGCGCUAAGGUGUGGGAAAUCUAACAAGCAUUAUUACAAUUGUAGGAACAAGAAAAGACGCAUUGGGCAUAAAAGGCAUAAACUAAUUGGACAUUAGUAGUUGAUUAUAACACAAUUUUACUUUAUGUAAUAACCAUUGGCCAUUGAGUUGCUAAUUAUAUUCUUGGUAUUGUUGAUGAAAAAUGUGUAUGGGUAGAAGAUCAACUACUCUUACCUAGUAUAGUUGUCCUUUACUUUCAAAAAAUGUAUAAAGUUUUGAGCAAUUAGGACUGUGUGGAGAUUUGGGUUCUUCAUAUGGUGGAUUUACCAACUUUACCUAUUCCUAACCAAUUGAGAUGUACUCACCUUUUACAGUGGAAGAGAUUAAGACUUUAGUAUUAUAAAUUAACCCAACUAAAGCUCCAAGUAUUGAUGGUAAAGUCGAGUUUUUUCACCAAAAGUAUUGAGAGAUUGUAAGGUUGCUUACAACCCAACCUUGUUUUGGAUUUCUAAAUACAAAAUAUAUUGUAAAGUAAUUUAACAAAAAUCUAAUUCCCCUAAUAUCGAAGGAAAACAACAAUGGAAUCUGAUGGAUUAUAGAACAAUCAAUUUAUGUAACGUCAUCUACAAGAUAUGUGCAAAGGUGUUAGUAAAUUGCUUCGAACCUAUCAUGACUGAGCUAAUAACACCUUACCAAAUUGCAUUCUUUGAAGGGCAAAAUAUUAUGGGUGAUGUGUGUUUGGCAUUGAAAUCAUUCAUACAAUUCGAAGUAAGUGCCAAGGAAAAGGAAUACUGGCAGCAUUGAAAGUGGGUAUGUGUAAAGCAUAUGACAUGAUUAACUGGAAACUUUGACAUGUAUUCUAGAACAUAUGACAGUUAGUUCGUGGUGGAGGUAAAUUAUACAAUAAUGCAUAUUAUUGUGUCUUGUCAGGUAUUGAUUAAUAGAAGUCCUAUUGAGAUUAGGCCUUACAGAGGAUUACACCAAAGUGACCCUUUAUCUCUCAAUUUAUCUACGUUAUCAUCUUUAAUUUUCCUAUAAGUUGAAUGUAGCUAAGAGAUUCAAGGCGUUAAUAUUAGCAAAAUUUGUUCAUCAGUGUAACACCCUUUGUUUGCUACUGAUUCUCUCUUCAUUUUCAAUGGUUUCAUCUAGAUUUGCUAUGUUUGUCAAAUCCAUUUUAAAUACAUAUUGCAAAUUUUAGGACUUUCUAUUAAUAGUAAAAAAUUCGUAAUUAUUUAUUAGUAGAUCUAGUAGAGAAAAAAAGAGAGUACAUCACAAGUAUUUUGUGAGACAAACAAGUAAAAUGGCUUGGGGAAUAUCUAGGAUGCCAUAUUGGAUAUCUUAAUAAAAUGAAUAUGUUUUUCCAAUAGGUUCUUGAUUGUAGGAAGUAGGAUUUGACAGGAUGGAAAUUGAAACAGUUUUCUUAGGGGGGUAGGUUAACGUUGAUUAAUAAAUCUAGUUUGCCAACUAUCCCCAUAUACACCUUUUUUAUGUACAAUUCCCUAGAUCAAUCACAAACAAAAUCAAUGAAAUAAUUCAUGAUUUUUAGUAGGGGGCGUGAUGGUUAGAGUAAGAAACUAUAUAUGUAUAGUUGGGAUUGAAAAUUUAUACUUAGGGAAUUGAGAGGACUUAGAAUCAGAAUGGAGGAAUACAUGUAUGAUGCUUUUUUUAUGAAAACAAUAGUACGGAGAAUACUGACAAAACCAUAAUCAAUGAAAUAAGCCAUGCUUCUUUCAAAGUAUUAUACAAGAAAAAAAAAUUAGUGUUGAAGCAAAAAAUUCUACCUUAUGUAUAUGGAAAAGUAUUCCUAAGGGAUAUGGCAUUUGUAACAAGGGUGGUAACAUUUAGAUUUGGGAGGGAAUAUGAUUGUUUUUUUGUAUAACCAGCACUAGCCCCAAACUAUCUCUGGUAACUUAGAUAGGAAUUUCCAAGACUUGGACUCACAGGCUUGGAAUUCAAAUGUAAUAAUGCAAUGAAUCAAUGUCCAACCUAGAGUUCAGAAGAUAAUGGUAUCACUUAUGAUCUCAAUGGCAUUAAAUAGAAAUAAUAGAACAUAUGGAGUUGUGGCUAUAAUAGUAGGGGGACAUACUACUUUUGGGAAUAUCAAUUUUAAGUGGCAGCCAAAAUUCAAGGAAAAUUUAUAUUUGUCUGGCUUUUAUUAUGGAAUCAUAUUGCACUUAGUAUUCAAUGUUGUUUAUUUAUACAUAGAGAUAAGAAGUGGGUUAAAAUCUUCCAAUGUAAAAUUCAUGUUCACUAGAAAAUAGGACCUCUAGCUAUGAAUAUUUGACAUUUAAACCUGGUUCAAAUUUUGGUCGAGCAAAGCAGAUAUCCGAUGGGAUGUGAUACGAAGGAACUAGCUAAACGAACAACUACACCUCAUAUAACUAUAGAUUGACUUUAAGCAUAGUUAUAGUUUGCUCUUGAUUUGUACCGAAAAAGUUUAAUGGUUUGAUAUAUUCACAGUGCAAUUUUUUACCCUACAAGUGAAGUUAAAAAACUGUCAUGUGUCUUGUAUUUUAUAUAUUUCUUCUUCUUCUUUUGUUUUACUUUUCCCUACAAUCAUAUGUUACCUCCUCGCUCGUGGAAUUUUAUUAGAUGUGUACCAAAUAAUUUUUUUAAGAUGAUAUUAAUUUUAGUUUUAAGAAUUUUCUUUUCAAUUGAUUAUUCUAUUCCAUUUAGUCAUAAUAUAAAGUCACUUGUACUUAAAAGAAUAUAUUAAAAUAAUAUUAUCUAAGUAGAAAUAUGCUCUAAGUCCUUAUAUUCUUCAUACAUCUGAAAUUCAGUCUCGUUACUUUUAUUUAAGUAAAAUUGCUCCCCUUAAUAUUCGGAUUUAAAAAAUGCAAGUCUCAUUGUUAACACAAUUAAAACUCUUUUACGAUAUUGAAUUUAAUAAAUAAUUUUAACGAUAUUAACAAUUGAACUUGAAUUUUAAAAUAUAAAAAGUGGAAUAACUGAAGUAUUAAAAAUAGAAAUGAAAAAUCUAAAUUUCAAAUGUUUUUAAACAUAUUAUAACGUAUUAUCUAAUGUUUAGUAAAAUUUUAAUUUAUUAUACUAUCGGGCAUUCGUCCGUUUAUGCGUUGAGGUGUCCCACUUAUAAACUUUAUUAAUGAUGCUCUUGUCAUUACUUAAAAUGGAAGUACGCCUUUUACUUUUUCUAUUGCCAAAUCACUUCAAAUAAUGUUGGAUGAGGAGAUAAAGUCACUCAUUUAUGGGGAAAAUGAUAACAAAUGUGAAUCUGAAGCUCUUUUUGAGCUUCUUGAAACCUCAAAUGGCCCAACAUCAAUACAAUCCCACGUCUCUUUUCUUUGAUAUUUUUGAAGGUUUGUUUAUUUUUGCACUAUUAUUCUUUUACUAAUAUUUUUUCAAUCAUGAUUUAAAUUUAAAUUUUUUUUUUCAUUAUAUGAGCUUUUAAAUAUGUUCAGAACACUUUCAUUAGCCAAUAUUUUGUUAAAGUUUAGAUAGAAUAAAAAUAAAAUUUAUCUCGUGAGCAAAAUUUAAGAAAUAAAUAAAAUGUGAAACAAACCUUAUGGGUAACUCUCAUGAUUAUAGUUUACGAAAACUUUUUAUCUUUAUUGAUUAAGAAAAUUAGUUUUAUGAUGUAUUUAGUGAUAAUUGAGUCUAUUUCUUUCUUCUUCUUCUUUUUUUUGUUAAUUUGUAACACCCCACAACGGUUUAGUUGUCAGAUUUGAGUAUUAGGAUGUCACAUCAACCAUCGUAACUUAUACAUACACACUUAACAUUCAAAUAAGGUCAAGUUUUAAUAAUUUAAUUCAAUUAAAGAGGUGUUCACGACUUAACAGUCAUUAAUCGAUAUUAGAAACAAUUUAAAAACAUACUUAAGAACCAUUUAAUAAAUUUCCAAAUAAAACCACGUACGAAUUGAUACACAAAUGUAGGUAUCGAUACCAUUUUAGCAUUAUGGUUUUCCUUAAACUCUGAAAGUUAACAUUUUUUCGAUACUUAUCCAAAGGUAUCUAUAAUUUUACCCCGGGUAUCGAUACUCGAGACAGGAUAUCGAUACCAAAUUGAGCUACUGUUUUCCUGCACAUUCAUUCCAACAUGGAGGUAUCGAUACUUAUGCCCCAAUAUCGAUACCUUUGUACAAAUGAACAAAAUCACAGCAAACAGGGAAAAUUUUUAUACUCAAACAUCUACCUCUUCGACAUGCAUCAGUAAGCACUUUAUCUAGCAUCAAAUAGUUCAUGCAUAUAUUCCAAAGCAACAUCAAAACUUCAACCAAUCAAGCCAACAUAAAAUCAAUAAAACAAUAUCAACAUCCAUCAAAAUUCUAUAAGACAAAUCAUAAUAAACCAUUAAGGACAUAUUAAAAACCAGCCAAGAUUCUAGCCACAUUGCCUUUAUUUCCACUGGCCAAAAGAAUGGCAAUAAUAUCACCUACUCAAAUUACUAUAACCUAACUUAGAUCACUUCCUUGGAACCACACUGCUCACACCGGAAACGCUAACUAUCUACAAUGGUUUAGAAAGGAGUGUGCGAGCUUAACAAGCUAAGUGAAUGGAUCAAAAUUUACCACAAAUAUACACAAUAUCAUACAGUAAACGAAAGAAACUAAAGCAAAAAUACAAAAGUACUCAAGUAUAAUGUCAAACUAACUUAAUCAAGCAUUGCUUACAAAUACAUCUAACUAUGAACUCACAUACUUAUACAUACAACAUGUUUCAUAAAUAAUUCAUUAAUUGAUAAUCAGGAAACUUGAGAUUAUGAAACAUAAAAGUGAACUCUAUCACCACACAUUGGAUACAUGGAUUUCCAACACACCAAUGACUCGAAGUCGAACAUAUCUCAUAAGUGUAGCUUCAAGCUGACACUCUCCAACACACCAACAUAUCUUGACAAAUGGAGCUUAACUCACAUUCCCUUAUCUCUCCAAAACUCUCCUGGGCUUCAAUUCCCCCAAUCGCAACACAAGGGUGAGUACUCACAAAAUCCUAUGGCAUGCCAAUUAUAUCCAACGAUCCCAAAAGGUCACAAGGCCAAAGUAUCCACAAUUAUACACAUAUCUACUUAUCGUUUUCUACAUAUUUUCACUACUCAUUUAUAUUAUACACACAACAAUAUCACAACCACUUAGCAUGCUUGCCAUGCUCUCAGUUGUUGCAUUUACAAGUGCUAACAUAUAACUCAAUGAGCUAUAACCACAAUAAGUCACAUAUACAUGAAUGAAACAAAAAUUCCAUAAUACAUAUUAACACAAUCAUAUCUCUACAAUAUUGCAAAGUACACAAAAGGAGUAAGAAAGCUUACACUUGGAAAAUAGGAUAGGGAUUUAGGCUACUCCUAAUCUCCCAUUUUACACUAUGAAUCGUGUUUAUAAGUAGUGAUUCCAAACACUCACCGUUCACACUUUUGCCUAUUUGUUAAAAACUUAAACUAAAUUGUUUUUGCCUUUCGCCUCACUCGAAGAAGAUACCAAUGAUUCCAAAGCUUCACACAUAUUAACCACACAAUGUACAUAAUUAAUUAGCAUCCAUAACACACUUUAAACAAAUAAAAACAUAGGUUUGAGGCUAGUUCUUCAUGGAACUGAAAUUUUCAACUAGCAUAUCCAAAACUCAAAUUCCUUAAUUCACAUUCAAACCUAUCAUUUAAAACUGAUUCUAAACACCUAAUUAUUCAUCCAAUAAUAAUUCUCAACCUUCAAGACACUCAAAACUCCUCAGAUUAAUGGUUCCAAAAAUUUUGACAUCUAUGGUCAUUUUAAUGAAAACUCAACAAAACUUUCAAAUCUUUUAACGAAACUUUAAGGCGAGUUUAAAAACCUUAUAAUGACAUCAAAAAGGUUGAAAAACUCUUAGAAACAAUAUUUUCAUCUACAGUCUCAAAUUUCUUCAUUAACGACUCUAAUUUUCGUCUACUACACAAAAUCCUUGAUUCAAUAGAUUAAAACUUGAUUCGAAUGACUAGACUACAUCAAAAACUAUUUGGAAAACAAAACAUUACCUUCAUUGAGGAAAAAAAAUGAUCAAUUGAUUGAAAAUCUGGGAAAACUCACUUAGAGAAAAAUUAACGAAAUUAAUGGUGUUCUUGGUGUUUUUUCUCUAAAUUCAAAGGGGUUUUAAUGUUUGAAGGAUGAUAGAAAACAAGGAAUUGGAGUAAUGAAGACCAAAUAUUAAAGGAUGAUGUUUAGAGAUUUUUCUUUCUAAUAGAUGACACAAAGAAAAAGGGUGAAGGGUGUUUCUCUUUUUUUUUCACAACAAAGAAAAUUGGUUGAUUUUAAAACUUGGUAUAAUUUCUUUAAAUCUACUCUUAAAUUAAACCCUUCUACAAAAUAGUCCUCUUUAUAAAAUUGAAAGUCUUUUUCAAACUAUUUUCAUAAAUUGGUUUAAUUUUCAAAGGUCAUAAACGAAGAUAUUUUUAGGGUGCAUAUUUCAAAUUCUGAACCCCAUUUCAGGCCAUAAUUCUAAAACUACCCUUGAAACUCCUAGACUCAAUUUUGGGGUGUAACAACUCUCCCCCUUUAAAAAGAAUUUCGUCCUCAAAAUUUACUUGAACAAAAAAAUAGGGAUAUUAUCGCUUCAUCGUAUCUUCGACUUCUCAAGUAGCCUCUUCAGUUUUGUGGUUACACCACAAAACUUGAACUAAUAGAACCCUCUUGUUUCACAAAACCUUCUCUUAGUGAGCCAAAAUCUCAAACGAAUUUUUCCCAUAAGUGAGGUCAUGUCAAACCUCAAUCUCCUCUACUUGCACGAUGUGCGAUGGGUCGGAACAAUACUUCCGUAACAUGGACACAUGUAAAACGUCAUAGAUUUGCUCAAGCUCUGGUGGCAACUUGAGUCGAUAAGCUACCGAGCUAAUUCUCUCAACAACUUCGUAAGGUCCAACAUAUCUCGGAUUCAACCUACCCUUCUGUUCAAAUCUCAAAACCUUCUUUCAAGAUGAAACCUUCAAAAAUACCUUAUCGCUAACUUGAAACUCGAUAUCAUGACGUUUCAAGUCCGUAUAAGAAUUUUGCCUAUUUGAUGCUAUUUUUAAAUUUUCACAGAUCAAUCUCACCUUCUUUUCAGUCUCUUGAACCAAAUCUGGUCCAACAACCCGCUUUUCAUCCAAGUCCAUCCAACACAAAGGAGUCAUACACUUCCUACCAUACAAUGCUUCAAAGGUUCCAUUUGAAUACUCGUCUGAAAGCUGUUGGUAUAGGCAAAUUUUGCUAAGGGCAAGUAUCGCUCCCAACUAUCACUGAACUCAAUCAUAUAGCUACGCAGCAUAUCCUCUAAUACUUGAAUUACCCUUUCUAACUGACCAUCUUCUUAGGGGUGAUAAGCCAUGCUAAAACUAAGCCUCAACCCUAAAGCCUCUUGCAAACUCUUCCAUAACCUAGAAGUAAAACGUGGAUCCUUAUCCGAAAUAAUAGAAAUUGGAACUCCAUGGAGACAUACAAUCUCAUUUAUAUACAACUCUGCCAACUUCUGUAAAGAAUAGUUAGUGUGCACAACCAAGAAAUACGCACUCUUAAAAAUUCGAUCAACAACUACUCACAUAGAAUCUUUUUUUGUCGGGGUCAAAGGCAAACCCAAGAUGAAGUCCACGGUGAUCCUUUCCCAUUUCUAUUUAGGAAUCGUAAUCGGUUGCAACAAACCUGAAGGGUACUGAUAUUGUGCUUUUACGUUCUAGAAAACCAAACACCGAGUCAUAAAAUCAUUUACAUCACGUUUCAAACCAGACAACCAAUACAACUCUUGUAGAUCAUAGUACAUUUUACCACUAGCGGGAUGCAUAAUGCAGGGGCUACUAUGUGCCUCGGUAAGAAUCGUCUGUCUCAAGUCCACGUCAUGUGGUACACACAAUCUUCCUUGAAAAUUUAAUAUACCAUCUGUGUCAACAUCAAAAUCUCCCUUACGCCUUGUUCAACCUGUUGAAUCCUCUUUAUCAAUUCCUUAUCUAAGGGUUGUUUCUCCUUAAUCUGCCAGCACAAAGUUGGCUUCACUUGAAGUUCAGCGAACAACCCACCAUCACCGGCUACACUCAAGUAUGCAAAAAUAUCUCACAAUUCUAUCAUCGACUUCCUACUCAAAGCAUCCACAACUAUAUUCACCUUACCGAGAUGAUACUCUAUCAUACAGUCAUAAUCCUUUAAAAGUUCAAUCCAUCGCCUUUACCUUAAAUUCAACUCUUUCUAGGUGAGAAGACACCUAAGGCUUUUAUGAUUUGUAUAGAUAACACAUCUCUCACCGUACAAAUGAUGAUACCAAAUCUUCAUCGCAAAUACCACAACAGCUAACUCUAAGUCAUGGGUCGAAUAAUUUCACUCAUGUGUCUUCAACUGUCUCAAGGCAUAAGCCACAACCUCGCCUUCUUGCAUCAACACAAAAUUGAGUCUUGAGUACGAAGCAUAACUAGAAACCAAAAAAAUUUUCCUUGGCUCUGAUUGCGUCAAUACAGGUACCUUAGUCAAAAUUGCUUUGAGUUGUUCAAAACCUUUCUGUCUUUCACAUAGUUCAUUCAAACAACACAUUUUUCUUAAAUAGUUUCGUCAAGGGUGUAACAAUGAGGGAAAGCCCUUCAACGAACUAACAAUAAUAAUGAAUUAAAACCAAGAAACUUCGAACCUCGAUAACACUCCUUAGUGGUUUCCACUCCAAAAUAGCCUCAAUUUUCUUUGGAUCCAUACGAAUUCUGUCUGCCAACACAACAUGGCCUAAGAAUGUUACCUCUUUUAGCUAGAAUACACAUUUACUCAACAUUGCAUAAAACUGCUUGUUCCAUAAAAUCUGCAAAACAAUCCUCAAAUGUGCAUCAUGAUCCUCUUCAGAACGAGAAUACACCAAAAUAUCGUCUAUGAAGACAACCACAAAUUAAUCUAAGUACGAAUAUACUAUUUAUCAAGUCCAUAAAUGCAGUAGAGGCAUUAGUUAAACCAAACAACAUGACCAUAAACUCAUAAUGCCCAUACUGAGUCCUGAAAGUAAUUUUUAAGAUGUUAGGCUCCUUCACUUUCAAGAUUCCCUGAAAUCAAUAUCAACUUUCAUAGCUAUUUCUAUAUAGAAUCGUAAUAUAUGAGUGUGGGCUCGAGUAAUAGAAACCAAAGAAAAAAAGAAACGAAUUAAUUAUUUUCAGUAGGAAAGUAAUUCUUUUCUAUAAAAAUUGGAAAAGAUCGUAAUUCCUAGAAAAUAGAAUUUAUUCUUAGUGAAUAAACUCCCACUAUUUUCUAGAAGAAUAACGAUAACUCAAUAAUCUAUAAAGUAUAUUUUUAGGUCAACUGGUGCUUUCUAUUUGAAGAAAACAGUACAAAAUACUGGUUGAACAAACCUUUAAUAAAUAAUAAUAUUUAAAUAGAAAAUACACUGCUACUCUAACUAGAGUAGAAGUGGGCAGCAGUCCUUAGUAAAUAUUACUAGGGUUGUGACCGCCUAUAAACGAGUUAUCAUUUAUAAAAUAAAUAUAACACAAAAAAUAUAAGAAUUGGGAACGGCGAUGUUCGCAAGUGCAUGGGUCAAAUUGUAAUAUAGUUGUACAACAAAAUACUAGAAGUAUUCCGAGGAUCAUACCCAAGGGAGGAUGGAACAAAUAAUGAAAAUAUUUUUUUACAAUACUAAGUUUAUGUCACAUCCCAGAACUUAGUGGUCAGUAUAAUCAAGCUUGUGAGCCGAGAGAGUGGUCAACCCUGAUAUUUUAGAUUAUAUUGUGUUUGUAGAAAAUAAAUGAGUUACUGGCCUACUAGUUAAUUGUUAUUGAAAUGGUCAUUGAAACCCAAGUUUCAAUCCCUUCCCUCGCACCAUUUUUAUUAUUUUGCAAAUUUUGUUUCAAACCCUAGUAUGUGUCACUCCUUAUUUUAAAAAUAAAUGUUGUAAGGUUAUAACAAGAAUAAGUAAUUAACCUAGUGGUUAAGUAGUAGUGUAAGUAUCCUUGAGACCCGAGUUCAAUUCCCCUUGCUCACAAAUUCUUUUUCCUUUAAGUCUGUGCUGCCUAACCCUCUGUCAGCUGUCAAAUUUCAAUCUAACUCAAACUCCAGGAAAACCUAAUUAACUUGAUUAUUCAAAAAAAAAAAGAAAAUAUUAUCUGAAUUAUCUAAAAGCUAUUAAGGCAUUUUAAAAAAAAAGAUUAAAUUAAUAUUGUGUUGAGGUUUUUUUUCUUUUUUUCACUCUUUUUCCUCUUCUGCCAUCCCCUACCUCUCCUCCCUCUCUGUUCUCAGUUUUUCUUUUCUUUUUAUUUCUUUUUCUCCUCACAUUUGAUUUUAUUUUUAUGGUCAUCUUUCCUUCUUCUUAAAAGUCAAACCUUGCUAUUCUUUUUUUACUGUCAUUUCUGCAUAUCAGUAGCCUUUUCACCCUCUAUUUGUCGUCUAAUACACGACCACCUGUUGUCGUCGUUGCCCAUAUUUUUCUCUUCCUCUACUCUUUAUUAUUUUCCUAUCAUCGCGGAUCUGUGUGAGUGCAGAAUUUUUGGUUUACUUCAAUUGAGUCUAAGAAGUUCUCUUUUUAUUUUAUAUAUUUUGAUAUGGCUGAAUCUAACGAGUUAUCUUUUCUUUUGUGUUUAAAUAUCCAAGAUCUGGAUCCAAAUCAUACAGAUCAACCGUAGCAUUGGGGAGUUUGUUUGCAAGUCGACAUAAGCAAGUUAAGGUAAGCGAUAAUUUUCCACUUCAAAUUUGAAGUUUCAGUUAAAAUUUGCUGCAUUGCCGAACCCUAUGGGGGCUUUAGGGGGCUGAUUUUUUAUGAAUAAUUUCUAUUGUAUACAGAUCUAAGUGAGUCUUGGUUGGGUCUAAGUCCUAGGAGCUGCGGAUUUAAGUUAAGGCUUUGUGUUUACACUUAUCAUGUGUGAGUCUUCCCUAAGCCUAAAUAACCUAAAACUUAAAAAAAUGUAGUUAAAUAAUGUCAUUUGAUUGUUGAUUUUGGUUUGGUCGAGAAAUAUAAUUAAUUUCCUUAUUCAAUAAAUUCAUAAUGACUAAUUAAUUUAAUUUCAUUUUCGGGCUUCAAUUAUUUCACUAGAAUGAAUUAAAUAAUAAUUCAAAAAACUUAAAUUAACUCUCAAGUCAUUUAUUAGCAAGAAAAGACAUUCAUUUGCAAAUGCAGCCUAUUUUUCUUACUUCAUCAUUUCUAUUCAUUUUUGUUCUUUUGAUUAACCAUGCAAUUCAUUUCUAGUUUCAAUGAGCUAGCGGAAGGGCGAUUAGACAUAUUUAAUUAGGGCUCAAGUAAUUUAUAUUUAAAUUCUAGUUUUUCACCUUUUAAUUAUAAACUUAUUUAGUCAUAAAAUUAUUCCACUAAAGUAUCGUAACUGAGCUCUCCCUUAUUAUAUAUCAUUGUGAAAGCUACUUAAAAAGUGUUCAUCCAAUGACCUUGUCAUAAGUGUGUUACCCUUAUAGGAUAUUCAUUCUUUCAAAAUGAUCUUAUUUGAUCUCAUGGUAAUCAUUACAUUUUCCUUCAUAAAAAGUCUAUCACUAUCAAAUAGUAAUCAAGUCAUUUAUCACAAUGACAAAUGACCUAUGGUCAUCAUCUUCCUGUUCCGCAUACUCUAUGCUAAAAACACUUCUGUCAGAUUGGAAGAACUCAGGCUUAUGAGAGACCCUCUCACUGCAACAAAGCUCCCUAUGCUACUAAUUGUUUGUAGGCCUACUAUUAAGAGUUGGAUCUAAAACCAUUACUAGAAGACUUUAUUUAUUUCUCGAAAGUUCCUCAAGUACUUCUUUACUUCAAAGUUUAAAUUCAUUCAUGUAACUCUUCUCUAGGAAGGUAGCAUGAGAUAACACUAUAAUUGUUUGCUUUUUGAGUUAUAAAACAAACUACCAUUUGUUUCUUUAGGAUAUCCUACAAAUAUUCAUAAUUCUAUCUGUGAAUCCAACUUCCUUGCAUUUUUCUCCAAUACAUGGGUCAGGCAUCCCCAAAUCCUAAAACGCUUUAGGGUUGGCUUCCCCCCUUUCCACAACUAGUAUAGAGUUUUAGGUGUGGCCUUAGUUCGUAAAUCAUUCAAAAUGUAGCAAGUCAUGUAACUCCCCUUACCCGGUCUGAUUGUCAGACCCAAGCUACAGGAUGUUACAAUAGUUAACAGAACAAUUCACAAACAUUUGCAACUUUAACAUUCAAUAAUAUCAACAAAACAUCUCGUAUUCCAUGUUUAGCAAGAUUUACAAAUAAAUUAGAGUCCUAAUCGAGCUUAUGAAGCUCUUAAACCAAACUGAAACCAAUUAGAGACUUAAUUGAAAACUUAAAAAAGUAGGGAAAUUCAGAAAAAAGGGGUCACACAGCCACUAAAAAGCUGAAGCCAUGUGUAAAUGAGUCAUACAACCAUGUAGCCAAGCCGUGUAACUAACUAAAGCCAUGUGUAAAGGAGUCACAUAACCAUGUUGCCAAGUUGUGCAACUAACAGAAGUUGUGUGGACCUGGAUGCAAAAUUUUCAACUUAAAGUCACACAGCCGUGUUCCUGGACAGUGUAUUAGACUGAUGCCGUGUAAAAAAUCACUUGACCAAUUAUACAGUGCCACAGAGGCGUGUGUCCAGCUCGUGUAACAAGCUGAGGCUGUGUCAACCUAGAAGCCACCAAAUUAUAACAAGUGCACGACCAUGUUACAUGCCUGGGUUUGACACAUGACCGCGUGCUAGCCUGUGUGUGCCAAAAGGUACCUUAAUAUGCAAGCUAUUAAUUCAAGACUUCAACUAUUUCAUGAAUUUGCAAUAACCCAUACCUAAAACAUGUCCAAAAGUGCACUAAACCAUGCUAAAACACAAUAUAUUCUAUUUCUAACCAAUAUGCCUCAAUGCACCUUCACACAUUAUGAACUAAAUCUAAAAUGCACUACCAUUCAUGCCGAGUUAGAUAAUGACCAUGCAUAUGCAAUAUUUGCAAUAAAAAUACCAAAAUUUCAAUCAACUAAUUGAUCAUAUUGCCAAUAGCAACAACUGACAAGAUUGAUAUCAAAAUAUUUACACAUAUCAAGUUUAUACACAACCAAUUUACUCAUUAAAUAUUAACCUUAAACAAACAUACCAUGCAUUCAAGGGUUUUAUUUCAAGUCAUGGAUUAACUUAACAACUUGUCAAAACACACAUAUGCAUAUGUAUAUAUACAUUUAUCAAUCUAUAAGACUCACAACAACUUAACUUAUCAUUAUCAACAACAACAAAACUAUAUAAUAAUAAUUAUUUAAAAACAUUCAAACAUACUUUCAGCAUUCAUCAACCAACUAAAAUUUAAAGUGACUUCCCUAGGUACAUGCCAAUUUACAUAACCGAAUGAAAUACACACUUUAGGGAGUCUUGGGCUUUGGUUGGGUGCUGAGGUGAGAUUCAAAAUGUAGCUACAGACCUAACCUGCGCACAAAGAGUAAAAUUUCACGAUAAGUAAUAAAUAUCAUAUAUCUUUAUACAUUAAGAUGGUAUAGUGAAAUCAAUUCAACCCAUAAGCAUUUAGAUUAAUACCGAAGGUCUCUACCAUUAGGUUUUAGCAUGCAUUUGAUCACUAAUUCCUUUAAUUUUUCUCUUAAGUAUGCACAAACAUCAUUUUGCAUUCUGCUUCCACUAAAGUUUCUGAACUUGUAGCUCAUCUUUAUUAACUUCAAAAUGUCAUCCCGGAUUGCCCGACAACGAUGACGGUCAUCCCGGGUUGCCCAGCAACAAUGGCUUACUACCUCGGAUUGCUCUGCAAUGAUGGUUUCUUAAAUCAUUUAUGUCAUCCCAGAUUGCCCGGCAACAAUGACCUACCACCCCGGGUUGCCUGACGACGAUGGCUUACCACAUUGAAUUUCUUGGCAAUGAUGGUUUCUUAAUUCAUUCAUGUCAUCCUAGAUUUUUCGGUAACGAUGACUUGUCACCUAAGGUUGUCCGACGACGAUGGCUUUGUCGAGUCUAAUUUUGUCAUUCUUAUAUAGCAAUAAAAAAUUACAUUUUAAUAUAACUUGUAUUUUAGCACAUAUUUCCUUGUACUAUAUGUGAUUUUAAUUAGAGUUAUAUAUGUACGAAAUGAGCUCAUUGAAAAUUUGCAUUAUUUCAAUAAACCACUGAUGAUGCAUAUUUUAGAUUAAAUUGUUUUCCAUGCGCAAGUUAGGUACUUAAAGAAUCGAUUGACGAUACAACAUCCAGCAGCAAUCCCGAACUCUAGUGUUGGUGAAUGGUUCUUUUUGUUCUUGGCAUGUACCUAGAAUGUGUUAUACUUCUUAUCGUCAUUUUGAGUUUUGUUGGCUCUUAAAGGUUAUGUAAAUAUGUAUAAAUGUGAUGGCAAUGGUCAUUUUCUUGAUAGAUUGAUGUUUGCUUUAGUUAAUUGCUUAAUGUUUUCAUGGAUGAUGUGGUAUACUAGGCUCUAUGUUUGGUUGAUGUUUGGACUUGGUUUGAUUCAUGAUAUGUGUAACAGCCCGAUUUUGGGUCUAGUUGGAACAGUGGUUUCGGGACCACAAAUCCGACGAGGAAAAAUUUAUUUCAAAAUUAUGACAUGGGUUGCAUUAUGAUAGGAAGGUUGCAUGAAAAUAUUGAUAUGAAAAUUUUAUCGAUUUAGUGAUUAAUUUAGGAAAGGACCUAUUUGUAUAAAAUGUAGAAUUUGAAUUCUAGAAGCUAGAAGGGUUAACUAGCUAUGAAAUUGUAAUACCCCGAAAAUUUCUACAGUAAAAAAAAAUAAGAUAAUAUCCCUGAUAUGGUAAAAUAAGGAAAUAAAGUGAUAAAAAGGGAAAUUGAGUUAUGUCAACAAUGGAAGGUAUAUUAUGACAUAUUAAUUCAAGAAAAGAUUAAAUAACAAAAGUGAGAAAAAUUUUGUUGCCCAAGAGUAAAUACUCAAAACUUGAGGGGUUAAAGUGUAAAUAUGAAAAAUUUGAAGGACCAAUAGUGUAAAUAUUUUAAGGGUGGAAUAAUUUAGAAACUAAGGAAAAUGGAUGAAUUAGGACCAAAUUGAAAAGGUGAAGAAUUUUGAGAGAUUAAAUUGCAAUUUUACCAAAUUAAGUGAUGACUCAAUGAUGGAAUUUCAAAAGAUUAUGAAGGGCAAAAUGGUCAAUUAGAAGGAGAGAGAAUUCUAGAAGGUAAUGAUGAUGUUGGUGAUAUUUUAAUUAAUUAAUUAGAUAAAUAUUAUUAAUUAUUAUUUUAUUAAGAUUUUUAGUAUUAUUUUAUUAAUAAAUGGUUAAUAUAAAAGGAAGAAAAGAUGAUGAGAAAUCAUCUCUUCUCCAUGAAACUAACGUGAGAAGAGAGAAAAAAGAAAGAAGUUUUUCUUUCUUUACAAUUUGGUCCUCCCAUAAAAAAUUCACCAUUUUCACUUAGAAAUCAAAGAAAUUUUCUUAGCCACCAAGAGAGAAAAUUGAUAAGGAGACUAGGGGGAGCUAGAAUAUCAAGUUAGAUUCAAGAAAUAGAAGCUGGAGGAGGGAGAAAAUCAAGUUAAAUAUUGAAAUCAAUGGCAUAAGGUAAGAACAUCAAGAUUUUUAUAUACUUUUGAGUUUGAUAUUAUUGAAAAAGUAGGAAAUUAAUGUUAAGGUAGAGUUUCAUUAUAUAAGGUUUUAUAUUCUUGUUAUGCUAAAAAAAAGGGAAAUAAGAGAAAGUGAUGGAAAAUGUUGAAGAGAAAGGAAAGGACAGUGUUAUAAAUUUAGUUAUCAACAUUUUACACUAAAAUAGUUUCAAGACAGCAGCAGUAGUCUGACUUUGAAAAUCUACCAAAAACCGUAUAAAUUGAAUUAGAGGAUGAAAAAAAUAUGAAAUUAAAUCUUAUUGCGUCUAGUUUCUCAUAGAAGAAACGGUGUAAGCAAUGAAAAUGUAAAUUAUGAGAUAUAGUAGGUUUUGUGAGAUAAGGUCAGAAUGAUUUCGGGUUCCCCUGUACUGACUUUGGAAAAUCAUCAAAAAUUGGAGAAAAAUAAUUAGAGCUUAAAUUUAUAUGUUUAGGUCCUUAAUGAGUCUAUUUUCAAUAUAAACAAAUGAAAACAUCACUAGAAUUCUGUACAAGGAGAUAAUUAAUUUUUAGUGAAGAAGGAUCGGAACUGUUAGACAGCAGAAUAUGGAUGACUUUAAAGAAUAAACUGUACUUAUUGGAUAAACCAAAAAUUCUGAACAUUUUAUGGUAAGAACGUAUGUGAUUCUAGUUUCAGAUAAAAUUUACGAAUCUUAAUUUGGAGUUCUGUAUCUCAAGAUAUAAAUAAUUUAGUGACUACGACUCAAGUGGACAGCUUUGAAUGAAUAUAUAUAUAUAUAUAAGUAAAUGGUGAAAUUAUAGAUAAUGUUACCUAUAAGCAUGUUAUAUACAUUAAGGAUGUGGAAUGGAGAGGAGGAAGAGGAAAAUAUAUGAUUAUUUAACUAGCAUGAGUUUUCAUUAAAAAUGAUCAAUUUACAUGUUUUAGGUUCAGGGACUAAAUUGAACAAAUGUGAAACUUUAAGGGUAAAUUUGUAAAAAUGUCAAAAAGUGACCAAAUUGCAUGAAAUGGAUUGGUUAUUUAUCUAAAUUACAAUAUUGAAUGAAAUUUAGAACAAUAUUGGGUGGAAAUUUGAGAAAAAUAGAAAAUUGCCAAAAUGUCCCUAAAUUUUGGUAUUUCUGCAAAUUAGUCUGGUGAGCUCGUAUGAGCUAUAUUCUAUAUAAUUUUAAUUGAAGUGAAUACUAUUUGGUAAUGAAUAUUAUAUAUAUGUGUGUUUUAUUAUUGGGAUCAAAUUAUUAUUGGUAAUAUGUAUAAUUAUUUGAUGCAUUUAAAUGAUUAUCGGAAGCUCGAUUGAGUUGGAAGCUUGUUGGAGAUAUAUCAUAGUAUCCAUUUGUUCUAUUGGUAAUUUUGGAUUAUUUCAUUCUUGUUAUAAUGGUGUGUAUAAGUUAAAUUGGUUAUGAAUAUGAAUGUUAGAUAAAAAUGGAAUGUCUGAAAAUUAAUUAGUAAACUCCGGUAAUGCCUCAUACCCUAUUUCGGUGUCGAAUACGGGUAAGGGGUGUUACAAUAUGCCUAGAUUAUGUCUUAUUAUGGAUUAGUAAAAAUCAUGUUUGUACUUAUGUUUUACUUAAAGGUUUUGGUAGCUUUUGUAUCUAGGUUUGAUAGACAGUUAAUUUUGUGCUUUUAAUGUAACUAUUUUUGGCUAAUUUUUUAAUAGAAUACUACCAAACAUAUGAUUUUUUUGCUUAAAUCUUUCAGGGAUUAAAUUGGAGUGCCAAAAUUCAAAAUAAAGAAAAAUGGACUAAAUCAAAACAAGAAGAAAGAAAAGGGCCUAAAUUAGAAAAUUUGCAAAAUUAGUGGCUAAUUAAAUUUGAUUUCUAAAAUUGUCAAAUUCUAUAAAUAGGAAAAAUCUAUGUUUAGUUGGAAUAAUAUUAGAAGAUUCGUGCUAAUUUUAGUUGGUUGAUUCAUGCUAAAUAUAACACUUGAAAAGUGUAUAAAUACUGUAUUAGUGGCUUGGAAAGAGACACUUGAAUUGAAUUAAACACAAUUUUUCCUUUCCUUUUCACACAUCUGUAACAUUGGCAAAAGCCUAUUGCCAUUUUAUUUCUUUUUCUUAUUUUUGGUUCAAUUGUCGUUUAAGUACCUUCCUUCCUCCACCUAUCACCGAUAUAAUUAAGUUAGAGCAUAGGAAAUUUAGGGAUCUGGUUACAUAAACAGGAAAUUUAGGAGUCCCAGUCCUUGUGGGAUCGACCCUACUACUCUAUACUACUAUUUAAUUAAGUUAGAGCAUAGGAAAUUAUAUUUGGUGGCUUCGACGCCCAUCAACUUUUGGUGUCAUUGUCGGGGUUGGAAAUAACUCUAGUUUUAUUUAUUUUACUUAUGACCAGGUCAAAAUCGGAAAUCUUAGAGUUUGAACUAGAAAUCGAGAAUUUAGCUCGAACACUACGAAUAAAAGUUAUUUGAUGCGAAAAACAACCACAAGCAAGAGAGGCCAAACAUGAAACACUGUCUAACACAGAAGCAAUAGAUGAUACACUCAGUGAACCAGAAGAAAUGGUGAAUCAAACCAUUCGUCAACUUGCUAUGGCACUGGAUUAGCAAUAGCCAUUAUGCAUAACUUACUCGAUGAGAGGAACACCAUUUGAAUUAAAGUCGGGCUUAAUUAAUUUAUUGUCCACUUUUCAAGAUUUGCAAAAUGAGAACCCCCACACUCAUCUUCAGAAGUUCCACAUGGUUUGCUAAAACAUGAAACUACAUGGAGUAACUAAUGAUCAAAUUACGCUUUGAGCUUUUCCUUUUUUGUUACCUGACUCUGCUAGAGAAUGAUUAUUUUAUUUACCUCUAGGAUUUGUUAAUACAUGGUCUGAUAUGUCUCGUUUGUUUCUUGACGGGUUCUUUUCAGCAGUUCAAACAGCCAAAUUAAGGAGAGAUAUUGUCGGAAUACGAUAAAAAGAGACUGAAUCGCUCUAUGACUACUGAGAGCGAUACAAUGAAUUGUGUGCAAGUUGCCCACAACAUGGCUUAACUGAAUAAUCAUCUCUUCAAUAUUUUUACGAAGGGUUACUCCUUAUGGAAAUGAAAAUGAUUGAUGCCACAAGUGGAGGAGCACUUAUUAACUUGACUCCUUAAAAAGCAAGGGAAUUAAUUUCGACCAUUGCUGCAAAUUCUCAACAAUUUUAACUAACUAAAGAACCCACAAAAAGGGUUCACGAGCUAAGUAAUUCAUCCUUUGGAGAUAAAAUCGAUAAGCUCACUAUUAUAGAUCAAAAUUUGCUUACAAGAAAAACAAACCCAGCUUGGUUAUGCAGGAUUUGUGUCAUGCUUGAUCAUCCGACAGAUUCUUAUCCAAUCUUACAUGAGGACACAAAAACAUAAGUAGAUGUCGUUGGGAACUUCCCAACCCCACCUCAAAGGAGUUAUGAUCCACAUUUGAACGCUUACAAUGCAGGGUGGAGGGAUCACCCAAAUCUGAGCUAUGGAUCGAACCCUCGAUACAAUCAAUUGUAUCAGCCAAGGCCACCUCUACCUCAACAAUUUCAACCCCCAAAGUCAUCUCUUGAAACCAUAGUGGAGAGGCUAGUUGUUAGCACCGAAAAGUUCCAAUAAAAGGCUGAAGCACACCAAUAAGAAAUAGAUCAGAAAAUAAGUAAGCUUGCACUUACGGUCAGUUGAUUGGAGUCCCAAGGGAAAUUGUCAUCUCAAACUAAGCCAAAUCCACGACAAAAUGUAAGUUCUAUAACCUUAAAAAGUGGAACAGUUUUUGGGCCAACACCUAGCAUGAAUCCUGACCACGAAACUAGAUGGGAAGAAUAGAAACAUGAUUCAAUAGUGGCUACGAAAUUGGUACCACAAAAACCAUUCGUAGUACCACCCCCAUUCCUUUGAAGGUUCACCUAAUGUAAAAGGGAGCAAGAAGAGAGAGAAAUCCUAGAGACGUUCCAAAAAUUUGAAAUUAACAUACCCCUACUCGACGCGAUAAAACAAGUUCCACACUGUGAUAAAUUCUUAAAAGAAUUAUGCAUUGGCAAGAAGAAGCUCACGGGUAACGAAAUAGUAGGUGUAAAAGAAAAUGUCUUUGCAAUUUUACAAAGAAAAAUUCUGCCUAAGUGUAAGGACCAAUGUAUGUUUGCUAUAUCUUGAAAAAUACGUAAUGUUGGCACUAAAAAUGCCAUGUGUGAUUUUGGUGCAUCUAUUAACUUUAUGCCUCUAUCUAUUUUUAAAUUACUAAACACGGGUCCUUUGAAAGAAACAAAGGGGAUAAUCGAAUUAGUAGAUAGGUCAGUUGUAUAUCUGGAAAGGGUGUUAGAAGAUGUCCUCAUCAAGGUACUUGAAUUAAUCUUUCCUACAGAUUUUUACAUUGUUGACAUGGAGGAUGAUAACUCAAAAAAUUCUUUCAAUAUUCUAUUCAGGAGACCAUUUUUAAGCAGCGCACGAACGAAAAUUAAUGUUCUGAGUGGAACACUGAUCGUGGAAUUUGACAGUGAAGUGGUCUAGUUCAAUGUUUAUGAGGACAUGGGUCGUCCCAGUGCAAUGGCAAAUGUCACUAGUGUCGAUAUAAUUGAACCAUUAACAAACUUUCAUUUUGAAUACUACAAAGAGGAUGAAUUACAAACUUGCUAUGCAGGAAUUUAGAUCUUGAUGCUAUGGAAAAAUAUGAAAAAUUAUUAAUGAUCAAAGAACCAAUAUGUGAAGUUUUCAUUCACAUGGCGGCCUUGAAAUUGGAACUCAAACUGUUACCGGAACAUUUAAGGAUUCCAAUAGAGGAAAAGACAAGCCUGAACGGAGAAGCUUAAAGACGCCUUAAUCCACUGAUGAUGGAGGAAUCCAGGAAGUAUUUCAAGGUCAAUAGGCAAAGGUUGAAACCUUUUUAUAAGAACUUCCAAGUGAAUGUAGAGGAUAAGUUAAUUCUCGAGGAGCCAAAUGAAUAAAAUUAGGGUCUUCGAGCUAACGAAAUUAAACAAAAGUGUUUUUUGGGAGAGAACUCAUAUUUAUUUAUUUUAAUUUAUUUAAUUUUGAAUUCAGUUUAAUUCAUGUUGAAAAUAAAAAAUAAGAUUAUUAUUUAAUCUAUUUUAAUGUGUUGUUUACCAAGAACAAUGGUGGAGGCUAUCCCUUUUCAUCCAAAAAUAAAUCAGAAUCGAAUUUCUUUUGUGGCAUGGGCUCACCUUGUCAAAUUUUAGUUCUUCCAUUUGGUGAAAAAUACACCCAGGACUGAACCAACCAGAACCAACCUAAACUGCCCAAACCACCCUCUGCCAAAUUAAUACAAGUACAUUUGACCCUUCUAUUUAUUAUUCUUUUGAAAUUGCACAUUGAGGGUAAUGUGGGCUAAGUAGGGGGGAUUCGUAGGACAUGUCAUGCUAUUUCUUCUUUGCAUGUGUUAAUUCGUAUACUAAGAUUAUUCCUUAAUUUGUUUCGAAAUAGAAACCUCCAAAUCCUAUGCUUAGUUAAUUUAAAUAAUUUGGUAAUUCAUGAAUAACUAGUUAUUGCUUAAUUUGAUCGACAGGUGUUUUGUAGAAUUGAAAAGAUUAUGGCUAAGUCAACAUUUCGUAAAAUAGUUGGCUUUUUAAACUUGCCUAAUAAAGUACUCAAGUUUCAUUUUUGUUCAUUGAAAUAAAAAAAAGUAAAUAAAUAAAUAUUUACUCUGUUAAUGGCUUCCUUACAAGUGAAGACUUUAGAAAUGUGACCAAAUUGAGUAACCGUGAUGAGGUGCUUGGAUUGUCAUCUCAUUUCACGUCAAAAUAUUAGAGUGACAAAUCGAAACUUCUAACACUCCACUAAUCGAGCUGCCAUGAGUAAAGAGAAAUAAACUAAUCGGAGACACGUCAAAUUGAGUAACUAGAGUGAGCUGCUCGGGUUGUCAUCUCAUUUCACAUAAAAAGAUUCAAUUAUGUCCCAAACUUGUGGAAAAAUUUAUUGAGUACGAUUUUCUCGCAAGUUUGAUUAAGCCUAAAUUAAGUGAAGUAGUUGAAUUUUGCAUAAUGUUAGAAAUUUUAUAAAACGCUUAUUGGUUAAACCUAGCGAUUACUUUUUUUAUUAAUCUAAUUGUUUGCAUUACGCUUGGAUUAGGAAGGAGAUUUCAUAUCGAAAAAAUUAUCGAAUGAUUUCUAGUAUGGGAAUACACAUCAUGCUUGAGGACAAGCAUCAGCUAAGUACGGGGAAAUUUGAUAGAAAGUUAAUUUUGUGCUUUUAAUGUAUCUAUUUUGACUAAUUUUUUAAUAGAAUACUACUAAACUUAUGAUUUCUUGAUUAAAUCUUAUCAGGGAUUAAAUUGGAGUGCCAAAAUUCAAAAUCAAGAAAAAUGGACUAAAUCGAAAUAAGAAACAAGAAAAGGACCUAAUUAGAAAAAUUGUAGAAUUAGUGAUUAAAUCAUAUUUUUGAAAUUGUCAAAUUCUAUAAACAGGAAAAAUCUUAUUUUAGUUGGCAUAAUAUUAGAGGAAUCAUGUUAAUUUUAAUUGGUUGAUUCAUGCUAAAUAUAACACUUGAAAAGUGUAUAAAUACUUGUAUUAGUGUUUGGAAAAAGACACUUGAAUUGAAUUCAAUACAAUUUUUCCUUUCCUUUUCACACGUCUGUAAUAUUGGCAAAGCCUGCUGCCAUUUUAUUUCUUUUUCUUAUAUUUUGGUUCAAUUGCCCUUUAAGUCCCUUCUUUCCUUCUCCUAUCACCAUUAUACUUAAAUCCAUUCUAAUAAUCCAUCGGGUAUGAUUAAUUUCAUGCUCAACUAAAACCCUUAUUUAGCCUUAGUCUGGUUAUCAUUCCUAUCGAGAAUCGUGAGAUAUGAAUCCAUACUAAAACCUUUCAAAUAUAAUAUUCGUAUCUCUCUGGUAUAUGGGAUGGUCACAAUCGUCCCUUAAAGUUAAUUCAAUUUCAAUUCAAAAGCGCGCGUUGGGUUGGAGUUGUUUGGCGUACAGUUCGAAAUCGAGUUGGUCACCUGUUGAGUUUGAUUUCCCGCAAACAAAUUGGCAUGUCCAUGUAGGUAAGGCCUAGUUAGACCUCCGUCAAGGGAGAUAGUGGUCGGAUUUAAACGACCUAUGCGGUUGAGGCCGUUAAUUCGAGUUGGGUUUUUCUAGAUCGCAAGGCUGCCGAGAUCUUAAAUUACGAAUGCGUGUUACUUGGUUAGACAAUCGGUAAGUGUUUGUUGGUAAGUCGUUUCGGAACCAACUACAAAAGGAAAAGUUGGCGGUUGAGGCCUCCUUGAUUGCUAUAACCAACUUAUCGUUUUGAAAGGAUAAUCUACUUUCAAGGAUCGAUUUGAUUUCGGAGUGUAUCGAUGCUAAGGCUAAGCAUUAAUUUAUUUGAUUCACCGAUUUAAUUUAAAUUCCUUAAUUUUAUUUUGCAAUCAUAAUUUUGUUAUUGUUUUAUUUUAUUUUAUAUGUAACACCCCUAACUCGUCUCCAUCAUCAAAUUAGGGCAUCGCCGGAUUAAGGUUACAGAGUAUUACCGAUCAACCAGAAAUCAUUUAACAUCAUAUCAUUAAAUAGAUUAAUCUCAAUCAAAAUCAUAUAAAUCAUAUGCAUUUUUUCCCUAAAUCAAGCUUUCGAGACCUUAAAAAUAGCUUAGAAACAAUUUGGGACUAAAUUGAAACAAAACAAAAUUUUUAAGAAAAAAUUGAAAAAUUAGAAAACAAGGGUCACAUGGUCGUGUGGCCAGGCCUUGUGACAUAGCCCAAGUUGUGUAACAUUCGAACAAGGGACACACGGCCGUGUCCCAGCCCGUGUCCUCACACGUGUAACUCACUAAGUAGCGUCACAAGGCUGUGUGCCAAGCUGUGUGCUAGGCCGUGUAACUCACUCACUUGAAACACUAAUAAAUUUCAAGUAACACAUGGCCGCGAGUGUCCUAGGCCGUGUGAACCCAAAAAUUUACCUAAAAUCAAGCUAUUUCAAAGCCAAAUCAUGCACAACUAACCAUUUCAUUUGGGUACACAUUCAAGGAAUUUAAACCGCAUUCAAAUACAUCUAAACAUGACAUUUCAAACAUCCUAAAUCACCUAACCAAUAUGACAUUUAGAGGCACCACAAUUGUAUCAAUCAUCAUUUACCAAAACAUGCCAAUAUUGCCAUUUUCCAAACAUACCAACUUAGUCCCUUAAAUACCAAGUAACUUCAGAUAUGUUCAUUUGUAUAUCACCACAAACUUACAAAAAAAGACCUUAUAUACAAGCAUUUGAAAGUGACCAAAAUGACGUAACUGGUGAGGUGUUAAGAUUCACCAAACCAAACAUAAACUUCAAAGUAUAUACAUACCAAAUCACUAUUAACACAUUCACAAAAUACCAUUACAAAUAACCUAUACAUGUCAUUAUUAACCUUGGCCAAAAUACUCAAAAACUACCAAAUUGGUUGAUGAAUAGUGUGAUAGGUCUCUGACGAGCUUCCAAUCGUUCGAGCUUCCGAUUAUCUAUAAAACAAAGGAAAGUAACUACGUAAGCAACAAGUGCUUAGUAAGCUCUUAUAAACUUAAACAUAACUUACCAUUUCAUUUAUACAAUUCAUAGAUUAAGCAUAAAUCGUUACCCAUGCCAUAAGCUUAGCAUAAGCCUAUAUAACAUCAUCAACUCACAAGUUAGUACACUUGUCCAUGAUACAAAUGAAUUCAACCAUAAGAUAAGUAGAUUACCAUAUAUAAAUACAUCAUUUAACUUAUCAAUGAUAUCAUAAGAUCUUGAUUCAUUCCAUUUGCAUACUUACCAUUUCAUUUCCUUUUCUUACCAGUUGAACCAAGUAGAAUUACAUCGGAUACUCGAGAAUGCUCACACAUAGUGUGCCUUUCCAUAUAACCGUAACCUUUCGUUUACAUCAAGGCUCACACGAGCUGUGAAAUGGGCCUGCUCACACGAGCUGUGGGUCGGAAUGUUAGCUACACAAUGCUUCUCACACAAGUUGUGGAGAAUCUGCAACAAAUGAAGGUCCUCAGCCAUCAAUAGGACAUUUAAUACCAGCACUCGAAACAUGAAAUCUCUAAUGACAUGUCAUUUGUAUUUUAAGAAUUCUUAAGGUUCAAACAGGACUCGUUAUCCUUCAAUUCAUUAUAGCAUGGAUAAAUUUAUUCAUAGAUUCAUUUAUUUUUUAAAAAUUUAGAAAAUAUUCAAUUUAACUAACAUUAAAACAAUCAUAGUUCAUACGAACUUACCUCUAUAACUAGGGUGUAGAAGUAGAAUCGAACACUAAUCUGAAGCUUUAGCUUUUCCUCGAUUUAAGUCCAAAUAUGGUUUAUCUUGAUCUAAAUAGAUAAUUUCAAUAAAUUAAAUACUUCUAGUAUUCAAUUUAAUCCAUAGUUCAUAUUUAUGCAAAAUUAUGAAUUUUCCCCUAACAUUUUAACUUUUCACAAUUUAGUCAUUAAGCUCACAACUUGAAUAUAACUCAUUUUAGCCUAAAUCCAACUUAACCAAUGUUACAAGGGGCCUUGAAACAAUCCAUAAUUACCAAAAAUUCACAACAAAACCCAUGAAUUUUUACUUUUAACAAUUUAAUCCCUAAUUGCAAUUUCAUCAAAAAUCACUUAACAAAACAUGUUUGUUUUACAACCAAAACUAAUAAUCUACCAACUAACAUCAAAACCUAUUCAAAAACAUCCAUGAAAAGUCUUUCAAAAUUUUAACAAAUUUUCAAAUUAACCCCUGUGCUAGCUAGAUUAAGCUAAAACGAUAACAAAAAUAUAAAAAUCAUUAAAAAAGGGAUCGAGAUCACAUACCAUGCAAGCACUUAAGUUAGCCGAACCUUCAAACCCUAAAAUAGUGUUUUUCUUCUUCAAUUUUCGCUGGAGAAAACCUUUAAUGAAGAUGAUACCUUUUUGUUAUAUUUUAGUUUAAGUUUUAUUUAUUAAAUUACCAUUUUAACCUUGGUUAUUAACUUAACAAAACAACAAAUUUAAGUCCAUAUUUGUCCACUAACUCCUUAAAUGGUAUAAUUACUAUCUUAGUCCACUAGUUUAAGAUUUCAUAACCAUUUGACUCUUUUAACUGAUAGAAUUCAACUUUUACACAUUUUAUGAUUUAGUCCUUUUCAUUUAUUAACCAUUUAAACUUCAAAAUUUCUUAACGAAACUUUAAUACGACCUUAAUAUAAUCCUGUAGACAUUAAAUAAAUAAUAAAUUAAUAAUUCAUUCAUCGAAAUUGUGGUCCAAAAAUCAGUGUUAUCGACACCACUGAAAACAGGCUGUUACAUUAUAUUUUUUUAAUUUUUUCUUUAUCAACUAAAAUCCCCAUUUUAUUUUUUUUCUAGCUCUGCAACGCACAGGUUGUGGGCACGACAGCUGUCCAGACUUAGGAAUCUAGUUACGUAAACAGGAAAAUUAAGAGUCUCAAUCACUGUGGGACCGACCCUACUACUCUAUACUACUAUUUAAUUAAGUUAGAGUGUAUGAAAUUAUAUUUGGUGGUUUUGACGCCCAUCAAUGUUAUUAAGCUAAAAUGGUAAUCAAGUGUGGAAUGGCUAUAAGGUUGAAUGUGUUUAUUAUUGGCUUUAAUAUUUGAUGUCUCAUUGAAAGUAUAUUGGGAUGAAUGAAUAUGAUCAUUUGGCUAGUUUUGAUUUGUUGAUUGAUGUGUCAAUUGUGGCAUAUUGGUUAGGCGUUUAGGAUGGUUGCUUAAAAUGAUUAUUUUUGUUUUGAUUUAAAUGCUUUUGAAUAGGUUAAAAUAUGGCUUAAAGGAUAGCUUGUGGCAUAAGUGUUACAUGGGUAAAUUGCUUGUUUUGAAAGGCAUUUCCAGUUACACAUGACCUGAGACAUGGCCUGACUCACGGCUUGGCACACAGUCGUGUGCCAUAUACGGGCUCGUGACGCAACUGUGUGGUUUAUAAAAUUUUAAUUGAAUUUGGUGCACUCGGGCACAAGGAGCUACAUGAGUUGCUCACAUGACCAUCUGACCUAUCCACAUGGCCAUUUGACCUAUUCACACGGCCAUGUGGCCUAUCUCACAUAGACACGACUUGUACACGGUUUAGCGACACAAUUGUAUGGUUCAUCCCACACGGGCUGAGCUUUCGCACACAGUUAAGGGACAAGACUGUGCGACCCUUGUUUUCAGAUUUUUCCUAUCUUUUUAAAUUUAUUUCAAAUUGAUCCAAAAUGAUUGCCUGUUUAGUUUUAACCUCUUGUAAGCUCGAUAUUAACCUGUAAUUAAUUGAAUCACAUGUUAAUUUAAUUAAUUAUGAUUUAUUUAAUAAUUAAUUGAUAUUUUAAAAAUUAUAAUUUGUUUGUAAUUGUUUGGUAUUUAGUUGUAGCAUCCUAUUGCUCAGAUAUGGUGACCGAUCGGGUAAGGGGUGUUACAUAGUAUAUAUAAGGCAUCAUUUGUAGGUAUCCAAAAACUUGAACUCGCGACCGCAUAACCAUCGUCAACUAGCCCUCAGUUAUACUCAAACCCAUGACCGCAUCACGGCCGCCUAGGACCUCCACUUAGACUUCGACCUGUGACCAUAUCAAGUACUGUCGCCUUGAAACCUGACUUCCAUAGGAUGAGUUUUUGAGGUAAUGGUCCUAUCCCGACAUGACAUUCAAAAUGUUUUAAUAAAUUAUAUAAUAAUAUUGAAAUUAUUAAAACAAUCAAUAUUAUUUAUAUUAUUAAAUAUUGAAAUUAUAAUAUUUUAUAAUUCUAAAUAUCUUUAAAAAUAAAAAUUUAUUAUUAAUAUAAUAAUAUUAAAUUUAAAUUAAAUUAAAUUUUAUAUAAACAUAAAAUUAUUCAUAAUUAAGUUUUUUUUUUCCGAAAAAUGAGUUGUUACCCGCUAAUCAAAUUAUUUUCAUUAAAUAAACACAAAACAUAAAAGAAAUAGUUUUCAAUAAAUCCAUAAUACGAACGCAACUCGUAUACUGAAAUACAUGACGAACAAGAAAUAUGAUAUUACGCGGCCCAACGUUUGCUUGUUUGAGUUUCACAAUUCGAAACAGCUAGAAAACUGAGGCAUAUCCGCCACUGCCUCUCGGCCUAACAUUUUCCAAUUAAAGCAAAAAACUAGAACAAAUACUAUGUACGGAUCCAUACCAUACUCAAAGUUAACGGAUUUAGAAGCCCCAUGCCUUUGCUUAGAUAGAUAAAAAAAAAACACCAGCCAAAAGAAAAAUCAGAGGAUGGAGAUGGAUGCAGGGGAUGGGUGGCUGUUGAUGAGAAGGUUGCUACCCUUGGAGAGCUGGUCCAUGAGGGAAAGUAUGUGGGCGUUGAAAGCACGGGCCUGAUUGACGGACUCUGCUUCCAGGUCACCCAGCUGAGAACAGAGCCUUUCCUCCGCCUCUUCCGCCACCCUCAGCCUUUCCCACAUCUUUCGUAAUUCCUUUCUCAUCUGCUCCUCUCUUUCCCUACUCUCCUUCAAUUCCUUUUCUAACUCCUGGUUCCUCUUCCUCAGCUCUUCUUCUGGUGCCGCCAUUGUUGGAGCCAUGUGAUAGCUUGCUGUUCUUUUUUUUAUUUUUUCUUCUAUUAGUGGAGAAUAGUGGAGUUGUGGAUCAACCAAUGUGGAGGAAUAGAUUCUCUUAUAGGCCUACGACGCUCC
rnacentral:lncRNA from 1 species